GACGAACGCUGGCGGCGUGCUUAACACAUGCAAGUCGAACGGAAAGGCCCUGCUUUUGUGGGGUGCUCGAGUGGCGAACGGGUGAGUAGCACGUGAGUAACCUGCCCUUGACUUUGGGAUAACUUCAGGAAACUGGGUCUAAUACCGGAUAGGAGCUCCUGCUUCAUGGUGGGGGUUGGAAAGUUUCGGCGGUUGGGGAUGGACUCGCGGCUUAUCAGCUUGUUGGUGGGGUAGUGGCUUACCAAGGCUUUGACGGGUAGCCGGCCUGAGAGGGUGACCGGCCACAUUGGGACUGAGAUAAGGCCCAGACUACUACGGGAGGCAGCAGUGGGGAAUAUUGCACAAUGGGCGGAAGCCUGAUGCAGCAAAGCAGCGUGCGGGAUGACGGCCUUCGGGUUGUAAACCAAUUUCGCCUGUGACGAAGCGUGAGUGACGGUAAUGGGUAAAGAAGCACCGGCUAACUACGUG
rnacentral:rRNA from 1 species